rnacentral:rRNA from 1 species
UACGGGGGGAGCAAGCGUUGUUCGGAUUUACUGGGCGUAAAGGGCGCGUAGGCGGUCAGCACAAGUCAGUUGUGAAAUCUCCGGGCUUAACCCGGAAAGGUCAGCCGAUACUGCGGGGCUAGAGUGCAGAAGGGGCAACUGGAAUUCUCGGUGUAGCGGUGAAAUGCGUAGAUAUCGAGAGGAACACCUGCGGCGAAGGCGGGUUGCUGGGCUGACACUGACGCUGAGGCGCGAAAGCUAGGGGAGCGAACGGG